AAAGGAUUAAAAGCUAAGCAGUUAACCUCGCUCUGAUGAGCAACAACUGAUUGGACAGGCUUUGCGUUUGCUGGAGUACGGAGAUCCCAUAUAAGCAGGUAUUGAUCAUCCCCAACCGAGCCAAAUAAGUACUCAUGCCUCAAAUGCCAUGCAACAUCUUCUACAACACCUUNCAUGAACCUUAAAAAUUUGCAUAGCAUCAAUGGCCUUGUUCUUAGGAGUGGAAUUAAUGUCCCACAAGCAAAUUUGAGCAUCAUCAGAACCACUAAGCAAGUGACCUUGUUUAAACUUACUCCAAGACAAACCAUAACCUUCAGUGCUGUGACCUCUUAAUCUCAAAUCGGGAGUACAAGCACCAUCAAGAGGGGGCUUAGAAGG
rnacentral:misc_RNA from 1 species